rnacentral:rRNA from 1 species
UACGGAGGGUGCGAGCGUUGUCCGGAAUCACUGGGCGUAAAGGGCGCGUAGGCGGCCUGAUAAGUAGGGGGGUGAAAUCCUGCGGCUUAACCGCAGGGCUGCCUUCUAAACUGUCAGGCUCGAGCACAGUAGAGGCAGGUGGAAUUCCCGGUGUAGCGGUGGAAUGCGUAGAGAUCGGGAAGAACAUCAGUGGCGAAGGCGGCCUGCUGGGGCUGUUGCUGA